rnacentral:rRNA from 1 species
UAGGGAAUCUUCCACAAUGGGCGAAAACCUGAUGGAGCAAUGCCGCGUGAAUGAAGAAGGUCUUCGGAUCGUAAAGUUCUGUUAUUAGAGAAGAACAAGUCAAGGAGUAACUGUCUUGACUUUGACGGUACCUAACCAGAAAGUCACGGCUAACUACGUGCCAGCAGCCGCGGUAAUACGUAGGUGACAAGCGUUGUCCGGAAUUAUUGGGCGUAAAGGGAGCGCAGGCGGUUGGAAUAGUCUGAUGUGAAAGCCCACGGCUUAACCGUGGAAUUGCAUUGGAAACUGUCCAACUUGAAUGCAGAAGAGGAAAGCGGAAUUCCAUGUGUAGCGGUGAAAUGCGUAGAUAUAUGGAGGAACACCAGUGGCGAAGGCGGCUUUCUGGUCUGUGAUUGACGCUGAGGCUCGAAAGCGUGGGAGCGACAGGAGUAGUAUACCCUCGGUA